AUUGAACGCUGGCGGCAGGCCUAACACAUGCAAGUCGAACGCGUGUCUCACUCUUGAGUACUUUCUGUGAAACUGCCCGUUCGAGGGCUAUAACUACUGUAAACGGUAUCUAAUACCGCAUUCCAUCGUAUGUGCCCCGAUGUCAUUAGAUUGUAGGUGAGGUAACGUCUCACCUAGGCGCCGAUCCCUAGCUGGUCUGAGAGGAUGACCAGCCACACUGGAACUGAGACACGGUCCAGACUCCUACGGGAGGCAGCAGUGGGGAAUAUUGCACAAUGGGCGAAAGCCUGAUGCAGCCAUUCCGCGUGUAUGAAGAAGGCCUUCGGGUUGUAAAGUACUUUCAGCGGGGAGGCGUUACCCGAAGAAGAAGCACCGGCUAACUCCGUGCCAGCAGCCGCGGUAAUUC
rnacentral:rRNA from 1 species